CAGUAGCCGCGGGAAUACGUAGGUGGCAAGCGUUGUCCGGAAUUAUUGGGCGUAAAGGGCUCGCAGGCGGUUUCUUAAGUCUGAUGUGAAAGCCCCCGGCUCAACCGGGGAGGGUCAUUGGAAACUGGGAAACUUGAGUGCAGAAGAGGAGAGUGGAAUUCCACGUGUAGCGGUGAAAUGCGUAGAGAUGUGGAGGAACACCAGUGGCGAAGGCGACUCUCUGGUCUGUAACUGACGCUGAGGAGCGAAGGCGUGGGGAGCGAACAGGAUUAGAUACCCCUGUAGUCCCUGUCUCUUAUAC
rnacentral:rRNA from 1 species